UUCCUACGGGGGGCAGCAGUGAGGAAUAUUGGUCAAUGGUCGGGAGACUGAACCAGCCAUGCCGCGUGAGGGAGGAAGGUACAGAGUAUCGUAAACCUCUUUUGUCAGGGAACAAAGGCGGGGACGUGUCCCCGGAUGAGUGUACCCGCAGAAUAAGCAUCGGCUAACUCCGUGCCAGCAGCCGCGGUAAUACGGAGGAUGCGAGCGUUAUCCGGAUUUAUUGGGUUUAAAGGGUGCGUAGGCGGAAGGUUAAGUCAGCGGUCAAAUGUCGGUGCUCAACACCGGCCUGCCGUUGAAACUGGUCU
rnacentral:rRNA from 1 species